ensembl:lncRNA
GACAGAAGCAGAGAGUGGGGGCCAGUGAGAACAUGUGAACAGAGUCAGAGAGGUUGCCUGGCUUCCAAAACCAAUCCUGCCAAACCUCUGCCAGCAGGGAGUGCUCACCCAGGCUCUCUGUGCCCCCCUCUGGCUGCAGACAUUGGGCACUCUGGUCCUGGCUGCAGGAAGGCAGGAAGGCUGGUCCUCUCAGUAGAGAUAUGAUGCAUAUGGGCUCACAUCAAACACCUGACCAAUGAAGAGGUGAAGAGCUAGUGAAAACAAACUAUUGAAGGACAGCCGGGACUGCACUGCAGUAUUUACUCAGUUCUUAUUUCCCCAGUGGUAAUAUUGGUGGUAUUUUAUAAAGCAGGUUCAGUGAAAACCUAGAGUUAGUUGACUCAGAGUUGAUGGAAACUCUGGGUUUACGGUUUCAAAGAGCCAGUUCAAUUUUUUUCUGAGUCAGUUACUACGGCAACAUACUUC